rnacentral:rRNA from 1 species
GCUUAGGGAGGAGCUUGCGUCACAUUAGUUAGUUGGUGGGGUAAAGGCCUAMCAAGACUAUGAUGUGUAGCCGGGCUGAGAGGUUGAACGGCCACAUUGGGACUGAGACACGGCCCAAACUCCUACGGGAGGCAGCAGUAGGGAAUUUUCGGCAAUGGAGGAAACUCUGACCGAGCAACGCCGCGUGAACGAUGAAGUAUUUCGGUACGUAAAGUUCUUUUAUUAGGGAAGAAUAAAUGAUGGAAAAAUCAUUCUGACGGUACCUAAUGAAUAAGCCCCGGCUAACUAUGUGCCAGCAGCCGCGGUAAUACAUAGGGGGCAAGCGUUAUCCGGAAUUAUUGGGCGUAAAGGGUGCGUAGGCGGUUAAAUAAGUUUAUGGUCUAAGUGCAAUGCUCAACAUUGUGAUGCUAUAAAAACUGUUUAGCUAGAGUAAGAUAGAGGCAAGUGGAAUUCCAUGUGUAGUGGUAAAAUGCGUAAAUAUAUGGAGGAACACCAGUAGCGAAGGCGGCUUGCUGGGUCUUUACUGACGCUGAGGCACGAAAGCGUGGGGAGCAAACAGGAUUAGAUACCCUGGUAGUCCACGCCGUAAACGAUGAGUACUAAACGUUGGGUAAAACCAGUGUUGAAGUUAACACAUUAAGUACUCCGCCUGAGUAGUACGUACGCAAGUAUGAAACUUAAAGGAAUUGACGGGACUCCGCACAAGCGGUGGAUCAUGUUGUUUAAUUCGAAGGUACCCGNNNACCUCACCAGGUCUUGACAUGCUUCUGCAAAGCUGUAGAAACACAGUGGAGGUUAUCAGUUGCACAGGUGGUGCAUGGUUGUCGUCAGCUCGUGUCGUGAGAUGUUGGGUUAAGUCCCGCAACGAGCGCAACCCUUAUUGUUAGUUACCAGCACGUAAUGGNGGGGACUUUAGCAAGACUGCCAGNGA